AAAUGAAUAGACGGGAGCCCGCACAAGCGGUGGAUUAUGUGGUUUAAUUCGAAGCAACGCGCAGAACCUUACCUAGGUUUGACAUCCUUUGACAAUUACAGAGAUGUAACUUUCGUAGCAAUACGACAAAGAGACAGGUGCUGCAUGGCUGUCGUCAGCUCGUGUGGUGGCAUGUCGGGUUAAGUCCCUCAACGAGCGCAACCCCUAUCUUUAGUUGCCAGCAUUAAGUUGGGCACUCUAGAGAGACUGCCGUGGUUAACACGGAGGAAGGCGGGGAUGACGUCAAGUCCUCAUGGCCCUUACACCUAGGGCGACACACGUAAUACAAUGGUCGGUACAGAGGGAAGCGAAAUGGUGACAUGGAGCAAAUCUCAAAAAGCCGAUCUCAGUUCGGAUUGAAGUCUGCAACUCGACUUCAUGAAGGCGGAAUCGCUAGUAAUCGCGGAUCAGCACGCCGCGGUGAAUACGUUCCCGGGCUUUGUACACACCGCCCGU
rnacentral:rRNA from 1 species